GGUCGGUUUGCUCAGCUGGUCAGAGCGUGUUGCUAAUAAUGCCAAGAUCAUGGGUUCAAACCCCAUACUGGCCA
rfam:Poecilia formosa, whole genome shotgun sequence.